AGAGUUUGAUCCUGGCUCAGAACGAACGCUGGCGGCGUGCCUAACACAUGCAAGUCGAGCGCGAAAGCCCCUUCGGGGGCGAGUAGAGCGGCGGACGGGUGAGUAAUACAUAGGUAAUCUACCUUCGAGCUUGGGAUAACCCCGCGAAAGUGGGGCUAAUACCGGAUAAGACCACGCAACCAUGUUGCGGGGUAAAAGGUGGCUUAUUUUUUAAAUGAGCUAUCACUUGAGGAUGAGCCUAUGGCCUAUCAGCUUGUUGGCGGGGUAAAAGCCCACCAAGGCUAUGACGGGUAGCUGGUCUGAGAGGACGAUCAGCCACACUGGGACUGAGACACGGCCCAGACUCCUACGGGAGGCAGCAGUGGGGAAUAUUGGGCAAUGGGCGAAAGCCUGACCCAGCGACGCCGCGUGGGCGAUGAAGGCCUUCGGGUUGUAAAGCCCUGUCAUGCGGAAAGAACGACCCUGUGACGCAUACUCACAGGGAGUGACGGUACCGCAGGAGGAAGCACCGGCUAACUCCGUGCCAGCAGCCGCGGUAAUACGGAGGGUGCAAGCGUUGUUCGGAAUUAUUGGGCGUAAAGGGCGCGUAGGCGGUAAUGUAAGUCAGAUGUGAAAUACUCCGGCUCAACCAGAGAACAGCAUCUGAAACUGCAUAACUAGAGUACAGAAGAGGGAAACGGAAUUCCCGGUGUAGAGGUGAAAUUCGUAGAUAUCGGGAGGAACACCAGUGGCGAAGGCGGUUUCCUGGUCUGAUACUGACGCUGAGGCGCGAAAGCGUGGGGAGCAAACAGGAUUAGAUACCCUGGUAGUCCACGCUGUAAACCGGUGAACACGUAGGUGUGGGAGGUGUAAUACCUUC
rnacentral:rRNA from 1 species